GAAUCGCAUCGGCCUUUGUUGUCAGGCGAUGGUUCAUUCAAAUUUCUGCCUAUCAACUUUCGAUUGUAGAGUAGUGGUCUACAAUGGUUGUGCAAAGGGUAACGGGGAAUUAGGGUUCUAUUCCGGAGAGGGAGCCUGAGAAACGGUACCAAUCCAAGGAAGGCAGCAGGCGCGCAAAUUACCCAAUCCCGACACGGGGAGGUAGUGACAAUAAAUACUGAUACAGGGCUCUUUUGGGUCUGGUGAAUUGGAAUGAGUACAAUUUAAAUCCCUUAACGAGGGAACAAUUGGAGGGCAAGUCUGGUGCCAGCAAGCCGGGUAAUUCCAGCUCCAAUAGCGUAUAUUAAAGUUGUUGCAGUUAAAAAGCUCGUAGUUGAACCUUGGGCCUG
rnacentral:rRNA from 1 species